rnacentral:rRNA from 1 species
CAAGACUUGCGCUCUUGGAGCGGCCGAUGUCUUGAUUAGCUAGUUGGUGAGGUAAUGGCUUACCAAGGCGACGAUCAGUAGCUGGUCUGAGAGGACGACCAGCCACACUGGGACUGAGACACGGCCCAGACUCCUACGGGAGGCAGCAGUGGGGAAUUUUGGACAAUGGGGGAAACCCUGAUCCAGCCAUGCCGCGUGAGUGAAGAAGGCCUUCGGGUUGUAAAGCUCUUUCAGCCGGAACGAAACGGUCACGGCUAAUAUCCGUGACUACUGACGGUACCGGAAGAAGAAGCACCGGCUAACUACGUGCCAGCAGCCGCGGUAAUACGUAGGGUGCAAGCGUUAAUCGGAAUUACUGGGCGUAAAGCGUGCGCAGGCGGUUUUGUAAGUCAGAUGUGAAAGCCCCGGGCUUAACCUGGGAACU